rnacentral:lncRNA from 11 species
CUAAAACCCAGCAGUUGCCAUAAUUCUUCCUGAUUGAUUUCCAACAUGCUGACUUGGCAGGUUUCUGUGCCACUUUUUGAAGCCCAUGACAUGGCCACAGUAACACAAUGAGACUAUCUCAAUCAUUUAGUUGGCUUUCAGAAGAUGCUGCCCCCUGCAAUUUUCCCAAAUGCAGAAAAGUCAACUGCAAAAUUUGUGCCAGAGGUGGCAACUUGGCUUACUCAAGAAAGAAGGAUCUUUGCACCGUGUUCCUGUAUCUUGCUUCAAGUAUCAGCCUUGCCGUGAAUCCAGUGGAAUAUUCCAGUGACUUUGCUGUUUGGAAUUUAUUCCAGUCGAGACCUUUGCCUUGGGUUUCAUCUUUGACGUUGUACCUUGGAACUAUUCCUGCAUUCAAGUCUUGUUUUCCUGUGCCUUGUUUGUGGAUCAUCAUUGACUCCACACCUGGAACCACCUUGGAAUUAAUCCAGUCUUGGUUUCCUGUGAUUAUCCUUCAUUCUUGUUCUUUUAUAUUUUGUUAUAUUGUAUUGCUCUGGGCAUGGCCCCAUGUAAGCCGCCCCGAGUCCCCAUUGGGGAGAUGGUGGCGAGGUAUAAAUAAAGUAUUAUUAUUAUUAUUAUUAUUAUUAUUAUUAUUAUUAUUAUUAAUGUCUUGAGUUUUGGACUGUGCUCUUUGAGUGGUUUUUAUAGACUCUUGUCUCAUGAACUUCAAGUACCUUGCUCUUUUGGAUUUAAACCUAAUUUACUGACUCUGAACUAUAUUUUGCGUUUACAUGCUUAUAAUCAUCAAUAACAACUUUCUUGCUUAUAUUCUGGGGCUUCGGUGUGAUUUUGAGGUGCCUGCACAGCCUCAGGGUGCAAUACCUACAUAGGGCGGGCACAGGUGGGAAGCUAGGGUUAAAUAUGGCAGUGCAGAAGAGUGAUUACAGGACUAUGCAUCAUUGAAGCAGCACCAUAGCACUAUUGGUGAGAAAGUGUGAAAGUCACUGUUUCCAUAUCAGAAUAUUUCCAUUUACUUAAAUAAUGUGAUUGCUGCAAGACAAUAGGCUAAUGUGAUAAUGUCCCUAGUGAAACUCUCAAAUCAUUAUGCUAUGUUGGAUCUUAGUUACAUUUAAAAUUCUUUGAUUGUGAAUAGAUGCUGAAUGCUGUUUAAUCCCUAGAAGUACUGGCUUUUCUGCCCUUUUCUAUUUGUAGAAAUGCUUUUGAAAAGGCUAAAAUAUAUUAAAG